rnacentral:rRNA from 1 species
AUUGAACGCUGGCGGAAUGCUUUACACAUGCAAGUCGAACGGCAGCACGGACUUCGGUCUGGUGGCGAGUGGCGAACGGGUGAGUAAUAUAUCGGAACGUGCCCAGUCGUGGGGGAUAACGUAGCGAAAGUUACGCUAAUAACGCAUACGAUCUAUGAAUGAAAGCGGGGGAUCGCAAGACCUCGCGCGAUUGGAGCGGCCGAUAUCAGAUUAGGUAGUUGGUGGGGUAAAGGCGCACCAAGCCAACGAUCUGUAGCUGGUCUGAGAGGACGACCAGCCACACUGGAACUGAGACACGGUCCAGACUCCUACGGGAGGCAGCAGUGGGGAAUUUUGGACAAUGGACGCAAGUCUGAUCCAGCCAUUCCGCGUGCAGGAUGAAGGCCCUCGGGUUGUAAACUGCUUUUGUACGGAACGAAAAGGUCUCCAUUAAUACUGGGGGCUCAUGACGGUACCGUAAGAAUGAGCACCGGCUAACUACGUGCCAGCCGCCGCGGUAA